GUUUGAUCAUGGCUCAGGAUGAACGCUAGCGACGUGCCUAAUGCAUGCAAGUCGAACGGUAGCCUUUAGAUUUAUCUGAAGGUGAGAGUGGCGGACGGAUGCGUAACACGUAGGUGACCUACCCUAAAGAGGGAGACAACCACUGGAAACGAUGGCUAAUACCCCGGAUAUCGGUCUAGUUAGAGAGGAUUGACUGAAGGUAGGUAUGUCGAGAGACAUGCACAUGCUCCUGGAAGGACCUGCGAGCCAUCAGCUCAUUGGUGGGGUAACAGCCUACCAAGACAAAGACGGCUAGGAAACGUGAGAGCGCGACCCCCCACACUGGUACUGAGACACGGACCAGAUACCUGCGAAUAACAGCAGCAAGGAAUAUUGCGCAAUGAACGAAAGUCUGACGCAGCAACGCCGCGUGGAGGAAGAAGUCUUUCGGGAUGUAAACUCCUUUUCUGGGGGAAGAAGACGGCCAUGUAAACCAUGGCUUUGCUUGACGGUACCCCAGGAAGAAGACCCGGCUAACUACGUGCCAGCAGCCGCGGUAAAACAUAGAGAUCGAGCGUUAUCCGGAAUUACUGAACGUAAAACGCGUGCAAACGGCUAAGCAAGUCGGACGUGAAAGCUCCUGGCUCAACUGGGAGAGGUCAUUCGAAACUGUAUAGCUAGAGACCGGUAGAGACGAGUGGAAUUCCCGAUGUAGUGGUGAAAUGCGUAGAUAUCGGGAGGAACACCAGAGGCGAAGGCGGCUCGCUGGGCCGGCACUGACGCUGAGACGCGAAAGCCAAAGAAGAGAACGGGAUUAGAAACCCCGGUAUUCCUGGCAGUAAACGAUGUCAACUAGGUGUAGGAGGUGUAGAAGCCUUCUGCGCUGCAGCCAACGCAGUAAGUUGACCGCCUAGGAAAUACGGCCGCAAGGCUAAAACUCAAAGGAAUUGACGGAGACCCGCACAAGCAGCGGAGCGUGUGGUUUAAUUCGAGGCAACGCGAAGAACCUUACCAGGAUUUGACAUGUCGGUGGUAAAGAGACGAAAGUCGACUAACCCUUCGGGAAACCGACACAGGUGCUGCAUGGCUGUCGUCAGCUCGUGCCGUGAGGUGUUAGAUUAAGUCCUGUAACGAACGCAACCCACGUCGUUAGUUACAAGUGUCUAGCGAGACUGCCAGUGAUAAGCCGGAGGAAGGUGUGAAUGACGUCAAGUCAGCAUAACCUUUAUAUCCUGGGCGACACACACUACAAUAGCCGGUACAAUAAACAGCGAAGUCGCGAGACGGAGCCAAUCCCGCAAAACCGGUCUCAGUUCGGAUUGCAGGCUGCAACUCGCCUGCAUGAAGUCGGAGUUGCUAGUAACCGCAGGUCAGCCACACUGCGGUGAAUACGUUCCCGAGCCUUGUACACACCGCCCGUCACGUCAUGGGAGUUGGCAACACCUGAAGUCGAUGGGUGAACCCGCAAGGGACACAGCCGCCUAAGGCGGGGUCGGUAACUGGAACGAAGUCGUACAAGGUAGCCGUA
rnacentral:rRNA from 1 species